CCCCUCUCGGGGUUGUACCUGGAGAGUUUCCAAUACUCUACCACUCUUAAAUAAGGGAGGGAGAGUCAAGCAGAGGCAUACCCAUUCCAUUCCUAGGUUAGGCAGUGGCUAAUGAGUGGAGGGCAAUCUGCUACAAAU